UGUUAAAAAUUCCAUACAUUUGUAAUGUUAAAAACUGACAUGAUUGACGAAAUAAUCAGACAGUAACAUGUGGCAUGCCACAUACACCCCAUGCUUAUUUACAUGAACCAAUUUUUAAUCGUAAAAAUAGUUGAAAUUCUUAACA
rfam:Gossypium hirsutum cultivar TM-1 chromosome 13, whole genome shotgun sequence